UUCGGCCGGGGGUUUGGGCUCACAGAAGCGUACACCAUUGACAGCAAAUAUAUGCAUCAACUCCUCCUGUUCCUUGGCAAUUACUAAAUCUUGAUUUUUAAUGAGCUUGCAAAACGCUUUAUGCGCUGCAGCCAUAAGGGCCCCUGUCACAGUUACGCCCUUGGAUCUACAAACGUUGCGAAUUUGUGAUGUGUGUGUCUCAGAAAAUACUUUGUAUACCAAGUCACAUACUUCAAGCGAGGGUUGUGUCAUGAAAAAUGGGUAGGGUUUUUCGGGUUUGGAGGCUAAUAAGAUGGAUAACUUUAGUCUUUUCAUGAAUUUAUACAUGAAAUGCAAUCCUACAUAUUCCUGUAAAUCCGUCCAGGAAGAUCUUGAUCGAGUUUUACUGAUCAUCGCAUAAAAACUUGGCAACAGCUCAUGACUCGGAACAUCUUCGCCGCCAACUCGUGUGUUUUCGGCAACACUAUUAAGGUAGCUCAAGAAUUGGUUGCAUAAACUCAUCCCCGAUACCCCGUCAACGAUACUGUGAUUUACACGGAAAACUAUAGUGUUCACGUAGUUCUCGCUAUCUGGAAGAUAUUCCCCUGCGAACAAAACUGCUCGCUAUAGUAAGCCAGUUUUUAUCUGGCUCAUAGCGGUAUCGUACCACGCUUUUUGCCACUGCGAUGCGUUGACAUCAGACGUUGUUAGGUCAAUCAUGUCUCCAAUUUUAUUCGCUUCAAUUAUCUCGAAAUAUCUUUCAUUGCUUUUCCGAAACCACGAGGAAUUUGAAACAAUUUUAAUAACAGCUCGAAGCAAUGGUUGCCGUUUGGCUAAACAUAGUAAAGCGUCACGAACAAGCGAUUCUUUGAGUUUCUUUUUCGAAUGCAAGAACAAGUGUCUGAGGUGCCUUGUCGUUCAUUACUAAAUAUCUCCAUACUUUCUUCAAACUUGCCCAAACGUCGGCUUGAGGAAGAUGGUCGAGAUUCUGACUCAUGACUUGCAUGUACCGCGGCUCUCCUAAAUAAGCCUCGUGUUAGGAUGUAAAUAAAUAUAAUCGCUAAAAGUGCGAUGAAAAUUUGAGCAAGAAUCGACAUAGUAUUUAUGUGAAGUCUGUGAAGCGUAUUACAU